GUCCAACUGAUGAGUCCAAAAUAAUAAGGACGAAACACGUGUCUUGGGC
rnacentral:hammerhead_ribozyme from 2 species